AGUGGCGGACGGGUGAGUAAUGCUUGGGAAUCUAGCUUAUGGAGGGGGAUAACUACGGGAAACUGUAGCUCAUACCGCGUACCAUAGGAUGAGCCCAAGUGGGAUUAGGUAGUUGGUGAGGUAAAGGCUCACCUAGCCGACGCUCUCUAGCUGGUCUGAGAGGAUGACCAGCCACACCGGGACUGAGAUCCGGCCCAGACUCCUACGUGAGGCAGCAUUGGGGAAUAUUGCACAAGGGGGGCAACCUGUCGCAGCCAUGCCGCGUGAAUGAAGAAGGCCUUCGGGUUGUAAAGUUCUUUCGGUAGCGAGGCGUUAACUACAGAAGAAGCACCGGCUAACUCCUUGCCAGCAGCCGCGGUAAUAC
rnacentral:rRNA from 1 species